rnacentral:snRNA from 1 species
GAUCUCAGAUCGUUCUCAGCACAAACUCCAUCACCUGGUUCCCAGAACUCAGAUUGCGCAGUA